UACGUAGGGCGCAAGCGUUGUCCGGAAUUAUUGGGCGUAAAGAGCUCGUAGGUGGCUUGUCGCGUCUGCCGUGAAAGCCCGUGGCUUAACUACGGGUCUGCGGUGGAUACGGGCAGGCUAGAGGCUGGUAGGGGCAAGCGGAAUUCCUGGUGUAGCGGUGAAAUGCGCAGAUAUCGAGAGGAACACCUGCGGCGAAGGCGGGUUGCUGGGCUGACACUGACGCUGAUGCGCGAAAGCUAGGGGAGCGAACGGG
rnacentral:rRNA from 1 species